CUUGGGCAGCACUUGCUUAUGUGUGUCUAUGCUUCAGGUCUCAGGCUGGUUGCAGGGAUGUGAUGUGGAUCGGGCUUUGCCCUCAUGUAGCUUAAAGUCUAGUAGAGAAAACGUAUUACAUUAUGGGUCACAUGCUAAUCAUUUAAUUACAGUUUUUUUCAAGAGGUGAAGCCUGAAGGAGCAAGCUGGAGAUAGCAAAAUUAACCAGUCUGUCAAAGAACACCAGGGCCAAAAAGACAAGCUUUUGUGUCUUUCUUAGCUUUGCUGUGUCUAGCCCUCUCUCUUGUCAGAAGAUGAAUAGAAUUAGGGAGCUGAGCAUGACUUCCUUACUGAAAUGGUUAUAACUAGCCUCUCAGGACUGGGAACUGGGUUUGAUUUUUAACUCCACCAAGUACUUUCUGCAUGGUAUUGGAACCUGAAAAGGAAACUGGAUUAUUGUGUCCAAUGCUUCCAUCGCACAGAUCAGAAAGUGGGGUGCUGAGAGGAAGAAUGACUUGUCUGAAGCCACUAUGCCUGCUUUCCAGGAAGAAAACUGUCACAAUCAGAACUGAGCAACCAAGCCACACUAGACAUUACAGCAGAGGAAGUUUAUGGAAAUGAAGAACCAUUUUUCCUCCUGUUUGGCAGAGGCCAUACCUCUUGGCAUCUAAUCCCUCAUGGUUGCAUCCUUCUGAGAAGCAUAAGCACUUUUUUCCACUUGAGAGGGUAGAAUGAAUGCAUGUAAACACCACCCCUGCACAGAGCUUCCUGCCAAAGACUGAUUUUGUUGUUGCUUGUUUGCAGUUCUUAUUCAGGAGUUGCUGGUGGAGGCUGUGGUUUAGAGACCAGAGGAAUGUCAUGGUUUGCCUCAGGACAAAAUCAAGUUCAAAGACCAUAUGGAGUGUGUGGCAAGACAUAUGAGAGCUUCUCUGAUGGAUGGACUAUGGCAAUUUAGCUGCGCCAUCAACCAAGAAGUCAUGCCUGGUCAGCACAGCAGAGUGGAGAGCAUUGGUUGAGUGUCUAAGUCUUGAUGCUGCAUCAACUCGCUGUGUGACUUUGGGAAAAUCGCUUUCCCCGCUGACACACAGGGUCCUGGUUAGCAAGUGGGGAAUUCCCAGGGAUUAUAGCAACUCAAAACUCUCAAGUAAAAUCUUUAAAGAAAUAAUUUAGAAGUCUCCAAGCCUUUGCACAUUCACUUCCCUAGGAAGAACCCUGUCUUAUUGCCAUGACAAAUUCCUUUAUUAUUUUUUUCAAGAGUUCCUUCAUAGUGCUUCUUCUAACAAAGUUUUAUGACCCUCACAUCCAGAGAGAAGGGCCUCUCCUUCAUGCUCAUCUACACCACCAUUUUUUAACUUUUAGUAUGUUGCACAUUUUAUUUCUCUUGCCUGUUUACCCUGCUAGAUCAUGGACACCUGAGGGUAGACACUGUGCCUUUCCAUCUGUUUGUCAGCAGUUCUCUUUGUUGCCAGCAUCUGUUGAUGGCUGCUGCCUAUGUCAUGUUAUUUGUUAAUU
rnacentral:lncRNA from 1 species